GUUAAGUUGCAGGGUAUAGACCCGAAACCCGGUGAUCUAGCCAUGGGCAGGUUGAAGGUUGGGUAACACUAACUGGAGGACCGAACCGACUAAUGUUGAAAAAUUAGCGGAUGACCUGUGGCUGGGGGUGAAAGGCCAAUCAAACCGGGAGAUAGCUGGUUCUCCCCGAAAGCUAUUUAGGUAGCGCCUCGUGAAUUCAUCUCCGGGGGUAGAGCACUGUUUCGGCUAGGGGGCCAUCCCGGCUUACCAACCCGAUGCAAACUGCGAAUACCGGAGAAUGUUAUCACGGGAGACACACGGCGGGUGCUAACGUCCGUCGUGAAGAGGGAAACAACCCAGACCGCCAGCUAAGGUCCCAAAGUCAUGGUUAAGUGGGAAACGAUGUGGGAAGGCCCAGACAGCCAGGAUGUUGGCUUAGAAGCAGCCAUCAUUUAAAGAAAGCGUAAUAGCUCACUGGUCGAGUCGGCCUGCGCGGAAGAUGUAACGGGGCUAAACCAUGCACCGAAGCUGCGGCAGCGACACUGUGUGUUGUUGGGUAGGGGAGCGUUCUGUAAGCCUGUGAAGGUGUGUCGUGAGGCAUGCUGGAGGUAUCAGAAGUGCGAAUGCUGACAUAAGUAACGAUAAAGCGGGUGAAAAGCCCGCUCGCCGGAAGACCAAGGGUUCCUGUCCAACGUUAAUCGGGGCAGGGUGAGUCGACCCCUAAGGCGAGGCCGAAAGGCGUAGUCGAUGGGAAACGGGUUAAUAUUCCCGUACUUGGUGUUACUGCGAAGGGGGGACGGAGAAGGCUAUGUUGGCCGGGCGACGGUUGUCCCGGUUUAAGCGUGUAGGUGUGUGUUCCAGGUAAAUCCGGUUCACUUUAACACUGAGGCGUGACGACGAGGCACUACGGUGCUGAAGCAACAAAUGCCCUGCUUCCAGGAAAAGCCUCUAAGCAUCAGGUAACAUCAAAUCGUACCCCAAACCGACACAGGUGGUCAGGUAGAGAAUACCAAGGCGCUUGAGAGAACUCGGGUGAAGGAACUAGGCAAAAUGGUGCCGUAACUUCGGGAGAAGGCACGCUGACACGUAGGUGAAGUGAUUUACUCAUGGAGCUGAAGUCAGUCGAAGAUACCAGCUGGCUGCAACUGUUUAUUAAAAACACAGCACUGUGCAAACACGAAAGUGGACGUAUACGGUGUGACGCCUGCCCGGUGCCGGAAGGUUAAUUGAUGGGGUCAGCGCAAGCGAAGCUCCUGAUCGAAGCCCCGGUAAACGGCGGCCGUAACUAUAACGGUCCUAAGGUAGCGAAAUUCCUUGUCGGGUAAGUUCCGACCUGCACGAAUGGCGUAAUGAUGGCCAGGCUGUCUCCACCCGAGACUCAGUGAAAUUGAACUCGCUGUGAAGAUGCAGUGUACCCGCGGCAAGACGGAAAGACCCCGUGAACCUUUACUAUAGCUUGACACUGAACAUUGAGCCUUGAUGUGUAGGAUAGGUGGGAGGCUUUGAAGUGUGGACGCCAGUCUGCAUGGAGCCGACCUUGAAAUACCACCCUUUAAUGUUUGAUGUUCUAACGUGGACCCGUUACCCGGGUUGCGGACAGUGUCUGGUGGGUAGUUUGACUGGGGCGGUCUCCUCC
rnacentral:rRNA from 3 species